CCAGAGAAUAUAUGAGCUCUGAAACCUAUCCAGUUGUCCCACAAGAGCACAGGCCCAGCAGCUUGCCCAUUCCAUCCAAGAGCCAUGUCGCUUGAUGAGCACACAGAGAUUGCAUGUCUUCCUUAUGAAUCACGGAUCACUGUCUGUUGACUCAGGAGACUCAACUCAAGACAGUUUGCUUCCACAUCCG